GGACCCGCACAAGCGGUGGAUGAUGUGGUUUAAUUCGAUGCAACGCGAAAAACCUUACCUACCCUUGACAUGCCAGGAAUCCUGCAGAGAUGUGGGAGUGCUCGAAAGAGAGCCUGGACACAGGUGCUGCAUGGCCGUCGUCAGCUCGUGUCGUGAGAUGUUGGGUUAAGUCCCGCAACGAGCGCAACCCUUGUCAUUAGUUGCUACGAAAGGGCACUCUAAUGAGACUGCCGGUGACAAACCGGAGGAAGGUGGGGAUGACGUCAGGUCCUCAUGGCCCUUAUGGGUAGGGCUACACACGUCAUACAAUGGCCGGUACAGAGGGCUGCCAACCCGCGAGGGGGAGCUAAUCCCAGAAAACCGGUCGUAGUCCGGAUCGCAGUCUGCAACUCGACUGCGUGAAGUCGGAAUCGCUAGUAAUCGCGGAUCAGCAUGUCGCGGUGAAUACGUUCCCGGGUCUU
rnacentral:rRNA from 1 species